rnacentral:rRNA from 1 species
AUUGAACGCUGGCGGCAGGCCUAACACAUGCAAGUCGAGCGAGCGGCGGACUGGUGAGUAAUGUAUGGGGAACUGCCCGAUGGAGGGGGAUAACUACUGGAAACGGUAGCUAAUACCGCAUACCAUCAGAUGAACCCAUGUGGGAUUAGCUUGUAGGGGGGGUAACGGCUCACCUAGGCGACGAUCCCUAGCUGGUCUGAGAGGAUGAUCAGCCACACUGGAACUGGGACACGGCCCAGACUCCUACGGGAGGCAGCAGUGGGAAAUAGUGCACAAUGGGCGCAAGCCUGAUGGAGCCAGGCCGCGUGUGUGAAGAAGGCCUUAGGGUUGUAAAGUACUUUAAGCGGGGAGGCGUUACCCGAAGAAGAAGCACCGGCUAACUCCGUGCCAGCAGCCGCGGUAAUUC